UAGGGAAUCUUCGGCAAUGGACGAAAGUCUGACCGAGCAACGCCGCGUGAGUGAAGAAGGUUUUCGGAUCGUAAAACUCUGUUGUUAGAGAAGAACAAGGAUGAGAGUAAAAUGUUCAUCCCUUGACGGUAUCUAACCAGAAAGCCACGGCUAACUACGUGCCAGCAGCCGCGGUAAUACGUAGGUGGCAAGCGUUGUCCGGAUUUAUUGGGCGUAAAGCGAGCGCAGGCGGUUUCUUAAGUCUGAUGUGAAAGCCCCCGGCUCAACCGGGGAGGGUCAUUGGAAACUGGGAAACUUGAGUGCAGAAGAGGAGAGUGGAAUUCCAUGUGUAGCGGUGAAAUGCGUAGAUAUAUGGAGGAACACCAGUGGCGAAGGCGGCUCUCUGGUCUGUAACUGACGCUGAGGCUCGAAAGCGUGGGGAGCAAACA
rnacentral:rRNA from 1 species